UGAACUGAACUGCUACAGAAAUGCAUGUACUGUUGUAUGUGUGUAUUUGUGUUCAGUUCCCGGUUGGAGAGGGUUUCAAUCUGCUGCUGUAUCCGUUAUCUGUGAUGGGGCCGUAUGGAUCUCACACCGUUCUGAUACCAGCGACCGGGACAGAGCAGAACACACAGCGCAGCCAAACUCCACAGGCAAACAGCAGCAAGAUCAGCGCUCAUAGUGAGUCCAAGCCAUUACAUGCAAACAGUGGGUUUCUCCAGCCAGACCCUGCCCCUGACUCCGCCCCUAGUCCCACCCAUCUCCCGUCUGAAUCUUUGCCUUUGCAGGGGCAGUUUCAGAUGUCACAUUUUGUCCCCUCAAAUGUCCCUCUGCAGGUCUAUUCAUUUUUUCAGCAGACUGUUGUCUCAGACUCGGGCAGUUCAGAGGAAGAAGCCGCUGCUCAGGUGAUCUAUAUGGUUCCCAUCAGCGUGGGUUCACCCAGCAUGGGUGUGAUGGAGGGCACGGGGCCCAAUCCUGGCCCUGGACCCCUGCAGUUCAUGGGCAGCACCACUCCUGCUGCGGCGCAGCUGGACGCUCGGGGACAGCGGGCACAGACAGAGACGCUCGCUCCAGGAGUCCUCUGA
rnacentral:lncRNA from 1 species